rnacentral:rRNA from 1 species
CCACCAGACUCCUACGGGAGGCAGCAGUGGGGGAUAUUGCACAAUGGGGGAAACCCUGAUGCAGCGACGCCGCGUGAGUGAAGAAGUAUUUCGGUAUGUAAAGCUCUAUCAGCAGGGAAGAAAAUGACGGUACCUGACCAAGAAGCCCCGGCUAACUACGUGCCAGCAGCCGCGGUAAUACGUAGGGGGCAAGCGUUAUCCGGAUUUACUGGGUGUAAAGGGAGCGUAGACGGCUGAGCAAGUCAGAAGUGAAAGCCCGGGGCUCAACCCCGGGACUGCUUUUGAAACUGCGGAGCUGGAGUGCAGGAGAGGUAAGCGGAAUUCCUGGUGUAGCGGUGAAAUGCGUAGAUAUCAGGAGGAACACCAGUGGCGAAGGCGGCUUACUGGACUGUAACUGACGUUGAGGCUCGAAAGCGUGGGGAGCAAACAGGAUUAGAUACCCCAGUAC